CACGGGGGGAGCAAGCGUUGUUCGGAAUCACUGGGCGUAAAGCGCGCGUAGGCGGCCCUGUAAGUCCGCUGUGAAAGUCAAAGGCUCAACCUUUGAAAGCCGGUGGAUACUGCAGGGCUAGAGUCCGGAAGAGGCGAGUGGAAUUCCUGGUGUAGCGGUGGAAUGCGCAGAUAUCAGGAGGAACACCAAUUGCGAAGGCAGCUCGCUGGGACGUUACUGACGCUGAGACGCGAAAGCGUGGGGAGCAAACAGG
rnacentral:rRNA from 1 species